rfam:Hordeum vulgare subsp. vulgare, WGS project CAJW01000000 data, contig: morex_contig_1593463
CAACUACUCCCUCCGUCCCAAAAUUAUUGUCUUAGAUUUAUCUAGAAAUGGAUGUAUCAAAAUACUAAAACGUGACUAAAUACAUUUAUAUCUAAACAAAUAUAAGACAAUAAUUUUAAAACGGAGGGAGUACUAU